GUAGGUUCUUUAAGCAUUGACGAGCUAAAGACCAUUUUAAAUUCUAAGCCUAGGGAAGCUUACAAUGGAACUAAUCAGAUGUUUUUAUGUCGGUUUGUUCCGAGACAGUGGAAGACUGGAGGUCAUGUGCUUGUGUCUAAUGUUUAGCAAAAUCUUAGUGAAACGAGGGCGAUAGGAAUGGGGGCUGGGGAAGACUUAGAUGGGAUAAAAAGAGGUGCGGCUGGAAGAACUAAAUCACUUUAAAACUUCUGAAAAUAAAUGUUGACCAUUGUAGUCAGAGGAGUAAAAUGUUCAGAGAAAUGGGGAUGAUUAAACAAGAACGGCAAGCCAGAUUGAGUCAGAAAAUUAUCUUCCUGCCAGAAAUUCUGUCUCCCACAACGGCAUCAGGGGGUGGUUACUUGCCCAGGGUGUAGUCAGUUUUUAAAAAGCUUAAGGGUUACCAACAUAUUCCUAAAUUUCCUGAAUUUGCUGUGAUUCCAGGAUUCAUUUAAACUCUUGAGACUGUUUUACUUUCGGCACGAAAUCAGCUCAUGGGCUUUAUAAAUGUAGAACCUACUGCAUUAUAGUUCUUCUUUUUGUUUAUUCUAAAACUGUUAGUAGCAGCCAGCGUAUUAUAUGAUUUGGAUUGGGCCAUGAACAACCGUAACGAGUGAUAAAGCACCCUUUCCUGUUCCAAUGCAAAGAACAACUAUGAAAAGAAAGUACUGGCAAAUUUAUCAUCUUGUAGUUAGUUCCUGGCCAAAGAAAAUGGUAAGGCCAUUCUUUUAAGCAGUUAAAAAAAAAUGGGGAUGGGCUCUUAAACUUUGGCAUGCUAAGGCCAUUCUUUUAAGCAGUUUAAAAAAAUGGGGAUGGGCUCCUAAACUUUGACAUACUAAAGCAGUCGUCAUUUAGGUAAAAUCUAAGUCUUAAUGGAAAUCGUGAUUUCAUAUCUACUGCAGCGUUAGCAAUCACAUAAUGAUAACUUAAAUCAGUAAAUCGUUGAACUCGGUUCUCUAAUCUUUGAAGAAUAGAAAUACUUUUUAUCCCAAAAGAUGUUUUGAGAAUUAAAUUUGCAGAGAAUUUUUUAGGUCUUUAGUUGUAAUUUAUAGAGCUAGGUCUUUUAACUUUAGUGGAAACCAUGCCCUCCAAACCCAAGUGACUGGAGUCAGAAUGUGAAAUAAGACGACAUAAAAUCCCUAUUUCUUAAGGGGCUGGGCGAAAGUAAUGGAACAAAAUGUAACGUUAUGCUAUUGUGGCAGAGAUAGCUAAUGGAAUGUUUCAUUUCUAAGUCUGUAAUUUCAGUAAUUGUUAGAGGCAGUUUUCCAUCAAUAAGUUAGAUCAAAUGGUUAAACCCAAUAUGAAUUUAUAAAAGCUUAAUUUAAUUUUGGAUUGAUUUACCAGAUGUUUAAGGUGGUUAUAAUGGGUAGUGUUGAUGGUGGUGCUUUUGGAAAAAUGAGUAUUAUAUGCCUGCUCAUCCCUUUACAUUAUCUUAUCAUAUAAACUUCUUGAUUACUCGUUAUGAUACUCUUAAAUCGUACAUUUAGAGGAAAAAUCUUAAAGUAAUCUGUAAGACCAUUUCUCCUUAAAAUGAUAUAUUAUGAGAUGAAAGGAAAGAUAAAGAUAAUUUAGAAGAGAUCCAGAAGUGGACUAAAUUUCUGGUAAGGAGGGGGCUAAAGAUGUUAAAAGACAUCUUAGGAAAAGCAUAUGAUUUAUAACUUUUAAAAGUGUCAUUUAGAUGGUUAAGGAUUUGUGUUUAAUAGUUCUCUUGAAAAUAUUGUUUUCCAAAAGUUUAAAAGCCCUAGCUACUUUUAUACAUUUGCCCUUAAAAAAUGUACAGAAUUUAUUACAUCAAACUGCUACAAAGAAAUAAGAAUUCUGAUUUUUGCAAGUAAGUUGGAAAUCAACGUAGAGGACAAAAAGUGGCAUAGCUAUAUCUAAACAAAAAAGUAUGUAAUUCAAAAGUUGGUCCACAAAGAAUUGAAAGCCUUUCAAUAACUAAUUUAAAUGAUAGAAAGCAGUAUGUAUAUGCAAGUACAUAUGCUCCCUGUAUAGAGAGUGGUUAGUAAGUAAGAUGGUAGCCUAACUCACUGGAAUAAAGAGAUCCUUGGAGUCCCAAACCUCAAGACUAGGAGUCUUAAUGCAGUUACCAGGCUGCAUGCCUGUACCCAGAGACCAUACUAGAGGCUGUGGGAAUCCUCGAUUACUGCUCUUAGAGCCCCCAACUUGACUGUUUCUUCUGUACCUGGUACUUUUUUCAAAUAUUUCAAAUUGCAGUGAUGCAUGGGAGAUACAUUUAGAAAACAUAAUGCAGGGGAAUAAAAGCAGUUAAAAACUAAGGACAGUUUCUACUGAUGAAAAUAAAAAACUGCUACAGCAACAUCUUUUCAUCAUCUGUAAACAUCAUACCCCCAAAUUUUCCUAAGUUAUUAUCUAACCUCAUCAGUAGCAGAUGGUGAAUUAUUUCAUAGAAAAUCCUGGAAUGUAAACUCUAGAUACUCAAGAAAACCUCUUUUUUUUCAAUGAAGGUAUAUUAUAUUUAAAAUAAUAAUGAUGCAUUAAACAUUAUGGGAUAAAGAAAAUACUUUCCAUAGAAAUUAAGCAAUGGCCUAGGCAAAGAGAAGUAACCCUUUAGCAUUAAUACUAUCAGUUAGACAGUGACAUUUAUUGAACAUUCCCUGUGUUGUGUAUUAAGAAUUGGACUACCUAUAUCCCAGUCAACAAUUUUUUCUGGAGUUUAGAAAUAGUUUAUGCUUAUUUUCUGUGUUUUUUAUUACCAAAUUGUUAUUAGUUUGGUGCAAAAGUAAUUGUGGUUUUUGUCACUUACAUGAUGGCAAAAACUGCAAUUACUUUUGCACCAACCUAAUAGAAAAAUACAAAAUGGAGAAUAGUUUUCAGGUUCCACAAAGCAUUUGCUGGAAAUAAAUAUCAGUUGUCUAAAUAAGUAGUACUUGAUUUAUUACUAUGAUUUUCGUAGGGUUCCAUUUCUGGAACAAUAUCAUAUUAAUAAACCCUUUCAGUGAGACCAUUGUGUGGUAUUGCCCAAAAAGGAAAAAAAAAUGUAAUGAGAAAGGACUAAGGCUAAUAAAAUUCCAUAAAUACUAUUAUAAAGAAAAGUAUAAUUUGACUGAGAUGCACAAAUGCUUACUUGAUAAUGAGGUGUUUUUAAGGAAACUUCUAUUAAAUACUCUUUUUGAGUUUAAUAUACUAUGAAACAAUGUUGUCUUUUUUUUUUUUUUAAUGAAGAUUUCCUUGACUUCCAAAGACCUUUGAUGUUCAAGCAAAAUGUAGCAAUUUGGUAAAAGUAAAGGGUGCAUUUCGAACUGAAAUAAACAUAAUGUCCUAUUAAGACCUGUAUUAUAUUUUAUGGAAUUUAACUUAGAAUGUAAGAUAUUAGCUCUGCGGUUUUACAAGCUUGUUUAAAUUCUGCAAUGUAGGGCAACAGAAAAUCCAAACAAAAUCCAUUAAUGACUAUAUUACUUCUUUAUUUUUCUUUUUAAAUAUUAUAUGUGGCCAGUCAGGAUGAAGUUUUUUUUAAACUACAUUUCCUAGUUGGACAGAUCAAGAGUAAGCUCCAGUUUUGCUAUAAUCUCGUUUUGUGAUUGCUGACAAGUCUAUUACUCCCUCAGUUCCCCUAUCACUAAAAAGAAAUAACAUUGUGGUAAAGAGGUGUUAAACUACCAAAUCCACUGAAAAAGUAUGGAAAAAGGUCACAGAUGUGGCAGCUUUGGCAUCUUCAGAAGAAAAGAUAGCAACUCAAUGUGAUACUAUUGGCAAUACCAUUUGUUAAUUGAAAAAAGAAGAAGAAAGCAGUUACUAGACAUCCAUGAUUUUAUGGAGAAGCCAUAUUCUGUCAUAGAUGAGCUAUUUACAGACAUUCAAUGGCACAUUCUUUGACAAAGUGAAUCAUCACUGUCUAGUCUUUCUUGUAUAUGAAUUUGAAGUAUUGAUUAAAGUUGUAGCAUACCUGUAAUUUUAAACUGUAAAACUCUAACACUCACAAAAGAACAUUGAAAGACUGCAAAUUUCUAGACUUGGAGGUUAUAAUUCCUUCUGUAUGUUACUACUAUCAGCUUAUAAAAUUUUAAAAAAUGUGAGUGUAGAAACUUAUAUAAACUGUAUUCACACAUGAAGGAUAGCCUAAAUGCUCCGGACUGAUAAUCUGAAGGUCAUUCUCACCUGGCUGAUUGAACUACUUUUAUUCAUAGAAGCCAAAGUUUUGAAAGGUACAGAUAGAAUCUUGACUACCUUGCAUUCGCAGUUACGUUUUAAUUGCAAAAUAACAAGCUCUUUAGUCACUGGAAACAAAACACUUUUAGCAUUUAACUUUAUAAUACUUGAAAUCCUACCUUGAAAGCAUUCAUACUCAUUAAAAGCUCAACACAUGAUCCAUGUUUACAUAAGGAUUUGGGUGUUGCUUAAAAUGAUCAUGUAAUGAGCUGCUUCUCUGCAAAUUAAUAUUCACUCCCUUCCCUCAUCCUUAAUGUGGGAUCUUUGAAGGAAAAGGAAGUGACCAAACUAAAGACAUAGGGAAAUGCAAAAUCAAGGUGAAAAGUUACCCAGAGGGUUGUUUUAAUUUUGGCCAUCAACCCCCUAGUGAAUAAUGGUAACAGUAUUGUUUUGAGACCCAUUUUGUGGCAUUUACCUAUUGUUAAACUAAAUUGACUAGAUGUAAAUAUAUUUUCAUCUUCAGAUAUUUAGAAUUUCUAUCCUUCCCCAUUGUUUCUGGAUUUUGAUACUAAUCUUUUUUCUUUGCAUAUUGUAUAUAUUUACUCAACAACUAAUCUAAUUUUAGAUUUUUAGCUUAUCCACAUUUCAUUUUUGUUUAUUUCAUUGGUAUUUCAUCAAUACAAUGGCUCUACCCUUCAAGGAAAAAAAACAUCAGCCCGUCCCACAAAAACACAUAUAUUCAAGAAAGAUAAAUUACAUUGUGAUGAUUCAAUCAUAAAGCUACUCAAGGAUGUGCUCCACCAAAAUGAGGAUAUGAAGCCAAUAUAAAGGAAGGCAAUGAAUACAAGAGACAGGCAAAGGGAGUUCCCAGGACAUAAGCAAGGGACGUCCCAGGUAGCAAGUGUGCACCUGGUGUCCAGGGCCAUCUGUCCAGGCUGGAGAGCAAUAGGGUGAUCUCGGCUCACUGCAACCUCCACCUCCUGAGUUCAAACAAUUCUCCUGCUUCAGGAUCCUGAGUAGCUGGGAUUACAGGGAGAAGUCAGCUGCCAUGUCAUGAAGACGCUCGAGUAGCCCUAUGAGAUUCCCAUGUGAACAGAAAUUGAGUCCUCCUGCCAACAAUCAGCCAUAAUUUGCAAGACACGUACAUGAGCUACCUUAGAAGAGAAUCCCUGGGCCCCAGAUAAGCCUUCAGGUGAAUGCAGCCCUGGAAGACAUCUUAACUGCAACCUCAUGAGAGACCCUGAGCCAGAACCAACCAGCUAAGGCACUGCCCGAUUCCUGACCUACACGCAUGGGGGUGCAUGGUGGCUCACUCCUGUAAUGCCAGCACUUUGGGAAGCCGACGUGGGUUGAUCACUUGAGCCCAGGAGUUCAAGACUAGCCUGGCCAACAUGGCGAAAGCCCGUCUCUACUAAAAAUACAAAAAUUAACUGGGCAUGGUGGUACACACCUGUAAUCCCAGCUACCCAGGAAGAUGAGGUACAAAAAUCGCUGGAACCUGGGAGGAGGAUGUUGCAGUGAGCUGAGAUUGAGCCACUGCCCUCCAGCCUGGGCAACAGAGACUCUGUUUCAGAAACAAAAACAAAAACAAAAGCAACAACAAAAAAAAUUCCUAUUGAAAUUUAACUUACAUGUGAUAAAAUUAAUGUAACAUUUUAUAUAUAUUAUAUAUAAAAUAUAUACUUAUAUAUUAUAUAUACUUAUAUAUAAUGCAUUAUAUAUGCUUAUAUAUAAUGUAUUAUAUAUGCUUAUAUAUUAUAUAAUACAUCUUCUAAUAUAUGUGUGUAAUAUAUAAUGUAACCUGUAUAUCAGUUUCACAGAUGUUAACUUAACAAGCAAAGUUCAUUGAACCAUGCAUUUGUAUUCUAUGCACUUUGUUAUAUAUCACAGUUUAAAAGGUCCAAAGUAGAGUAUAGACAGGCACAGUGGUUCAUGCCUGUAAUCCCAGCACUUAGGGAGGCAGAGGCAGGAGGAUAGCUUGAGCUCAGGAGUUCAAGACCUGACGGGGCAACAGAGCAAGAUCCUGUUCUCCACAGACAGGAAAAGAGAAAGUAGAGUAUAAAUACAGCAUAGGAUCUUGAAAAUCAGACUGGAUCAAAAGGUGACCAUGAACUAGCAAUUAAGGUUCUGUUUAAAAACAACUAACACGUGUUGGGACAUAAGAAUUAGGGUAGCACACAAUAAACUAUCUCCUGGCUUAUAUUUUUUAAAUAUCACUGGGUGGGUCAGUAGUCUGAACCUGGUUGCCAAGGCAGUUCCUAAACCUGGGGAGUAUGACUGAUAAGUUUUUCACCUUGACAGCAGAAAGCAGUUGGGCCCAAGAGAGGGUAGGCUUGAUGCUAGCAAAAUUAUGAAGAUGAAGCCUUAAGUACCUUAUCUUGUUUGUGCUUGCCCCUUGCUCUGCUUCUCUACACCUUUGGAUUCUCAGCAGCCUGCUGCUUUUCUACACCUUUGGAUUCUCAGCAGCCUGUGUAUUUGUGUACUUAUCCCCCUUCCCUUCCUGUCAUCUACCCAUUUCCAAAGCCAAGGCAGGUCUAAAGUCCUGCUUUGUUGACUUCUGGUUCAAUCAGGGGUGUUUCUAUCAUAUCACACUGGCUGAAGGUAUUUGUACCUUAACCUUGAUCUCUGAUUAUGAAUGAAAGGUUUUGGGUCCUAUUAAAGAAAUUUUCAUCACCACUGACUAGUUAUUUGAGGUGUAUUUUGGGUGAGGUGGGCCUUGCUGCCCCUGGGGUAGCACCUUGUAAGCUCUGGUAUGGUAUGCCCUGGGGAGAAGGUGUCAGCUAACUUUUAAAAAUCACUGCAGGUGAUUCAGAUAUGACAACCUGUAUCCUGUAUGACAACCUGCCUUCUGUCCACACCCCGUCUCUCAAUGAGAACCACCUUUUACAGGAAGGCCACUCAUAAGCAGAUAUAUCUAUUUAUUCAUUCAUUAAACAACUAUUUCUUGAGCUCUAACUGUGUCUGGCUAUGGGCUAGCACUGGUGACUCAGGGUUGAACAGAAACAGGCAUAGGCCAUGCAUGGUUUAGUGCAAGACACACAUUAAUCAAGGCAAGCAGGUAAAUGUAAAGUUACCAGUCAGGUAAGUGUCGUAAAUCUGGGUUUACUCAACAUAAAGACAGGUGAAUUGAGAGUUAGCUUAAUAAUUAUGAUUUUCAAGUAUAAGAUGAAUAAAUUAUGUAGAGGAGAAUAUUAUACACUGUAAAAAAGACAUAAAAAAGGAAGUUUGCUGUAGCAUAAAGAAUUUAAGGUAAUGGCUACCAUAGUCAGAGGGCCUGCUCUGUGCCAAGCAUGGUGUUAUUUUAUUUUAUUUUUUUAUUUUUGAGACUGAGUCUUGCUUUGUUGCCCAAGCUGGAGUGCAAUGGUACGAUCUCAGCUCACCAUAACUUCUGCCUCCUGGGCUCAAGCAAUUCUCCUGCCUCAGCCUCCCGAGUAGCUGGUACUACAGGCAUGCACCACCACGCCCGGCUAAUUUUUGUAUCUUUAGUAGAGACAGAGUUUCAUGUGAGCCAGGCUGGUCUCGAACUCCUCACCUCAAGUGAUCCACCUGCCUGGGCCUCCCAAAGUGCUGGGAUUAUAGGCAUGAGUCACUGUACCCAGCCUGCUGUUAUUUUAUAUAUUAAAAAUUUUACAUAAAUAUAUUUUACAUAUUUUUAUAUUUUUAUAAAAUAGUGAUUAUAUAUUAUCAUUUAUUAAACUCAUAUAUAUUGAUAAAGCCUCACAGAACCCUACAGAGAUUUAAAAAAGCAAUACUUAGAGAUAUUAGAUAAUCUGUUCUAGGUCACCCAACAUAUAUAUAUUUAAUAACAGCUUUAUUGAUAUAUAAUUCACAUACCAUAACAUUCACCCUUUUAAAAUAUAAAAUUCAGUGGGUUUUAGCAUAUUCAUGUACUUGUAAAUUACCACUAUCUAAUUUUAGAACAUCUUCAUCACCCCCAAAGAAAUCCUGUACACAUUAGCUUCUACCUUUCAUUCCCCCUCACCUCUGCCAGUUCCUGGUAACCACAAAUCUACUUUCUUUCUGUAUGGAUUUGCCUAUUCUGGACAUUUCAGUAAUGUUUUCAAGAUUCAUUCAUGUUAUAUUGUAUAUCAGUACUUUGUUUCUCUUUGUUGCUGAGUAAUAUUCCAUUGUAUGAAUAACCUCAUUUUGUUCACUCUUCAGUUGAUGAACAUUUGAGUUGUCUCCACUUUUUGGCUAUUAUAAAUAAUGCUGCUAUGAAUAUUUAUGUACAAGUUUCCAUGUAGACAUAUGUUUUCAGAUCUCUUGGGUUUAUUUCUAGGAGAAGAAAUGCUAGAUCAUGUGGUAACUCUAUGUUUAACAUUUUGAGAACCGCCAAACUAUUUUCCAAAGUGGCUGCAUCAUUUUACAACCUAUCAGCAAUGUAUGAGGGUUCCCAUUUCUCUACAUUCUUGUUAACAUUAUUUAAGGUAUCCUAGUGAGUGUGAUGUGGUAUCUCAUUGUGGUUUUGAUUUGCAUUUCCUCACCAGCUAAAAUUCAUGAAAUUCAGAUUCAAGUUCAGGUCCAAAGCCAGAGUUUUAGCCACUGUGCAAUACCAUCUCUCUCAUGCUCCUAGAAGUAAGGAAGAAUACGUUGAUAAGAUUGUAACGCACUGGAUUGAAUUUUAAUUAUCAUCUGGGUAUUCACCUCUAGAAGCUUUUAAAAACAAGGGCUUUUUUGUUGUUGUUGUUUUGUUUUUUUGAGACAGUCUUGCUCUGUCACCUAGGCUGUAGUGCAGUGGCGUGAUCUAGGCUCACUGCAACCUGUGCAAUUCUCAUGCCUCAGCCUCCCAAGUUGCUGGGAUUACAGGUGUGUGCCACCACACCCAGCUAAUUUUUGUAUUUUUAGUAGAGAUGGGGUUUCACCAUGCUGGCUAGGCUGGUCUCAAACUCCUGACCUCAAGUGAUCCUCCAGCCUCAGCCUCCCAAAGUGCUAGGAUUACAGGUGUGAACCACUGCACCCAGCCCGGUUUUGUUUUUAAUCUAGGAUAUAAUAGCUAUGGAUUAAAUUCAGUGAUGAGCUGGUAAAUGGUUGACAACCAACUUGGGGUGCCACAGUGGGGUGGGGGUAGCAGGAGGAGCUCUGAUUUGUAACCACUGCUUAUUACCAUAAUGUGAAUACUCCCACCCAUUACCGAUUUCAAGCUACCAACUUGAUGUCUGUCAGCCAGCUUGCAAAAAUCCUGAAAAUGUAACAAUCAGCUCUUGUGAACAGUAUGAGCCUGAGCCAGCUCCAACAUACAAAUUCUAUAAAUUCAUUAAGGCACUUUUUGAAUUACAAAUGUCUUUGUACAUAAGAGAAAAUGAAAUGAUCACUAGUUACAGAAGAUAUAAUUACAUAUGUAGAAAAAUCUAAAGUAAUUCAUGUAAAAUUAAUAUAAGCAAUACACAAUUUCAGCAAUGGGACUAGAUUAAAUAGUUAUACAAAAAUUAUCUUCUCUCGCAAAAAUAAUUAGUUAGCAAAUGUGAUGGUGAAGAUUUCCCCAUCAUAGUAGCAAUGAAACAAUAACAGCAACAAAGCCUUAGAAUACCUGGAAAUACAUUUAAUAAAGAAUGUACAGUUUCUAGAAGAAUAAACAUCAGAAAUUCUUCUGAGGGGCAUUAAAAAACUUUGAAAAAAAGGGAAAGAUGUAUGCUGAGAUCUUACAGGAAGACUCAGUAUUAUAUAAUUAUUAUUUCUUCCUGAAAUAUUUUAGAAAUCAAAUGCAAUCUCAAUUACAAUCCCAACAAGAUAUAUUUAGAAAAUCAAUAAGAUGAAUAGAAAGUUCGUUCAUCUAAAAGAAAAAAACAAAACAAAAAGAGGUGAGGCUAGGAAAAUUUUGAAAAAUAAGACAAGAGAAGGCUAAUUUUUAAAACAACAAGCAUGUAUUUCAGAAAAACAAAAUACAGUUAAUUGAAAAGAAAAAGAAAAAGCAAACAGAGAGAGACAGGCCAGCUCACCUCUGGAGUGCAAGAGCAUUCCUCAGCCAUGUGUUCCCUUCCUCUUGUGAACCAAAUGGAAUGAAAGUGUGGAGGGAGGGUGUUAAGUGACUUUCUGAGCUGUGUUUUGAAAUGUAUUUCUCCUUAGUAACAAUGUUAUAAACAGUGCCGAGGUUCCAAGGCUAGCCCAGUUCUAUCAUAGGUUAGGUACAGGCUUCUAAGGCAUAUCUUAUAAACUCAACUACCAAAUUUAAUAUGGAUCCCACUGUAUGUGUUCUAGUCUCCAACUUUUGGAAUGCAUCGUUACAGUCAGUAGGGAACUACUUAGACAACUAAGUAUAAUGAAUAAAGAGUAUUUUGAGUGUGAAUGUGGCAUGUUAUGGCAAUAUGUUCAAUGUUUUUAAUUCUCUUUCACCAUAGACUUUUUUUUGAUUUCUCAUUUGCUUAUUUGUGUAACUUAUAAGAUAAUUACAUAUUUAACUUAGCAUUGUGAGAAACAAAAUUGAUAACAUUGCUUUAAUCUCCUGAAUGUAUAAUAUGUUCUUAUUUCUGAACAGAUACAUUUUUCAAGAUAUGGAGGAAAUAAGCAGUCCAAUCUCCACUGAGCUGUAUAUUUUUUCAGAUGUUUCUUCUGGAGUGAAUAUUUACGGGCUAGAUAGAAUUUCUUGAAAAUAGACAUGUCACAUUCUUGUUUAUAUGUAACAUUUAUUACAACUGGCAAGAAAUGAUAAUUUAAAACUAACUUUAAAAAAUGAGUUCAGGACAGGUGCGGUGGCUCUCGCCUGUAAUCCCAGCACUUUGGGAGGCCGAGGUGGGCGGAUCACUUGAGGUCAGGAGUUCAAGACCAGCCUGGCCAACAUGGCAAAACCCCAUCUCUACUAAAAGAAAAUAUAUAUAUAUACAAAAAUUAGCUGGACUUGGUGGCACAUGUCUGUAAUCUCAGCUACUUGGGAGGCUGAGGCAUGAGAAUCACUUGAACCCAGGAGGGGGAGGUUGCAGUGAGCUGAGAUCGCACCACUGAUCUCCAGCCUGGGUGACAGAGCAAGACUCUGUCACACAAACACACACACACACACACACAGGAGUUCAGGGAAGUUUAGUUUCGAACUAAUUUAUAGCUUGAAUACUUUGAGGUAAUAUUUAGAUCAAUUUAUUAUUCACUAAUUUUGUUGAAAAUUUAUAUCAUGACUAUUCUGAUUCCAUCUCAAGGCACGAGGUUACUCUCAGUGGAUAAAAACUCAGCUACAGCUGAGGUUAUUGAAAUGCCAUGCAUAUAAGCAUCCUGGCUCAUUUUCAAUUUGCCUAUGUAUGUGGGUAGGGUGUGUGUGUCUGCAUGCGCCCACAAUCCUUAAAAUUACGUGGAAUAUUAACAAAUAAUAUCAUGCACAUCCGAUGUUUGUGCAAUAAUAUUAGAGAGAAAGAAGAUUAUUCUCUGAGACCCUCCAAGCAUCUUGCUGAUAACUAGUUUUAUCCUUUGACACCACAGUUUGAGGCCGCAGCAGCCUGCUGACACUCAAACAGUGAGUUAGUGACAGGCUCUGCAGAGAACAGAGCACUUCUCUGUCCACAGAAUUCCGGGCACCAGGACGAACACAUAUGCACUGUAGACUUUGAGUAUUUUUAUAUGACUCAGUAUAAAUGUAUACAUUCAUAGCCUCAUGAGCGCAUGUCUGUAAAUAUGGGGUCUCAAUAGCUUCAUGCAUUUUCCUCACUAGCCAGCGAGUUCUCUGGCAUACUUAAUCAAUCCUCUACUAUUCUUGGAUAGGAAGUACUAAAUUGCUGAGGUUUUAACAAAUACCAUGUUUCACUUAGGCAGUGUAGAAAUUAUCCCAGUAUAAGUACAUUACUAUUUUUAUGUUUUUGAUUUUUAACUUUUAUUAUUUUAAAAAUAACAUAAUGUGUAUUCAUAAUGGAAACAUAUAAAAUGCAGAUAAGUAAAAAGAAAAAUAUACCUGAUCCCACCAUGUGGAGAUAAUAGCAACCAUAAUAAAUUUGAUGUAUACCUGAUUUAGACUUUUUUCUAUGCACUUAUAUACAUGCAUAAAAUUUUUCACAAAAAUAAAUCAUAUAGAUGUCUUAAAACCUUCAAACCCUGCUUUUAAAAUUUAAUAUACCAUAAAUACCUUUCAAUUUCCAACAUAAUAUUUAAUGGCUGCAAGCCAAGAAUAUUUUAGCUGAAUAGGACUGGGAAUUCUUUGCCCCAAAGAUCUUACAUUAAAUUGAAACGUAAUCAUCCCAGGGCCUGGCCUCCUGAGGGUAAGUUGUACCACUGUGGCAUCAAAAGGUAGCCAAGAGGCACUGUUUAAGGUAGCUGGGUGUCUAGGUGAGUGUGUGCAUGUGUGUAUGGUACUUCACAGUGUGGAACUGAGCUGAGAGUAGAAAGAGGUGUGAACUAAAGCCCUGGGCCAGGAACCAAAGACAAGUGUCUGGGUUUGGAUAGACCCACACUGCCACUGAGAAUUCUAAAUUUAAUCCCAUCUUCCAGAUAAUUUUGAGGCUUACAUUUUUUAAGGAAAAAAAGAGAUAAUAUUUUUUAUUUAGUAGUUUGCUUUCAUAACUUUAAAACAUUUUGGCACAUGAUAGGUGUAUUAUCCUUCAUUUGUACUUGAGGCAGCCCCUAAAAAUGUCAGGAGCAGGCCUGAAUACACAGAUUAUAUACUUCCUAAAUUUCUAGAAUGUAUAAUAAUUGUUUUAUAUAAUAAUUUACCUUUCUAUAUGAAUGAAAAGGAGUAUUACAUGAGUGCUCAUUUAUUGACUGGCUAAGGUUCAAUUUAAUAUGAUAUUUAUUGAAACUUCACCAUACACCAUAUUCUACUGGGUACAGGAUGAGAGGCAAAAAUACAUAGGCCAGACCCUUACAGGACUCCCAGUCUUCUGGGGACCUCAGACUGUGAAAUAAUUAUCCCACAGAGUGAUAAGUGCAUCAGACAAGUGUGAACAUGGUACAGAGCCACAGAGAGAAAAGAGUGGACAACUUCAGGGUCAGGACCCUGGGAUCAAUUAAUUUAUCUGGACAACUAUAGCCUCACAGAAAUCUUUAAAAAGCUGUAUAAACCAUUCCAUCCAAGAUGAGUUAUUGUAAGCCUUUGAAAUAGUUGAACAUUUUAAAUUUUUGAUAAAUUUGGUAGGUUGGUCACUUGACAAAUUGAUCAUUCAGGAAUUCACUUUUAGUAGAUGAUUUUUACCUAAUCAGCCUGUUUCUUUGAGGGGCUGAUCUCAAGGUACAUUCAUAGAAAUUCCGUCCAUGCUGGGAUUUAAAAAAUACAUAGGAAGGCCAAGUGCAUUGGCUCAGGCCUGUAAUCCCAGCACUUUGGGAAGCCAAGGCGGGUGAAUCACCUGAGGUCAGGAGUUCGAGACCAGCCUGACCAACAUGGUGAAAUCCAGCUCUACUAAAAAUACAAAAUUAGCUGGGUGUGCUGGUGCACACCUGUAAUCCCAGCUACUUGGGAGGCUGAGGCAGGUGAAUCACUUGAACCCAGGAGGCAGACGUUGCAGUGAGCUGAGAUUGCGCCAUUGCACUUCGGCCUGGGCAAGAAGAGCAAAACUCCUCAAAAACAAAACAAAACAAAAAAACACAUAGGAGUUUGAAUGGGAAGGCAUGUGGUCAGUUAAUGAGUAAAAAUACUCUGUGAAGAGGGAACAGCACAUGUGUCAGCUUGGAGGCACAUCAUGGAGUGGCACAUUCUGAGAACAGUAGGUGGUUAAAAUUGCUAGAGGACUGAGGUGAGGAAGCAAAAGGAGACAAAAUUGGAGAGAAAGACAGGGCUACAACCUGGAGGGUUUUGUGGUGCUGGGUUCCAUGGAGUUUUAUCCAAUAGGAAAUGGAAGCCAUUGAAGGAUUCAAAGGCAGGAAGUGAGAACAUCAGACUGCAUUUUAGACAGACCGUGCUGGCAAAGGAAUGAAGGAUGAAUUGAAGGGGAGUAGUCUGGAAGGGGGGAGUUCACUGCUGAGAAGGGAGCAUCCACAAGGGUCAUGAUAAGGGCAAAUUCUGAAUUCAGAGUGUUGAGAUUCAAAACUGCUUCUAUGACUUAGCAAAUGUGUGUGUGGGCAAAGCUGGUUUCCUCAUCUGAAAAAUACAAUAAUAAUAGCUGUGAAGAUUAAAAGAAACAAUACAUAUAAAGUGCUCAAGGAAGAGCCUGCCAUAUAGCUCUUAAUACAUACUAGCUAUUAUUUUUAAAAUGUAAUAUAAUUAUUAUAUUUAGGAGUUCAAAAGAAAGAUAUUGAUGGUCAGGCAGUGGAGGUGGGUGUGGGAAUAAGAAAUAUAAGGAGUGGAUUUGACAGGUCUUUUUGGCGAUUAGAUUCAAGAUGAGGUAGGAGGAAUUUGGGAAGACAGGAGCAAGAACAAGUGGGAUGGUGGAAGAUAAUGAAUUUUGCUUUGGACAUGGUGAGUUUUAGAUACUUUUGGGUCAUAAAGGAUAUCCAGUGAGCAGAUUGAUAUGUAGGCCUGCAGCUCAGUAAAGAGAAGUGAAGGCCACAUAAGCAAAAUGCCAGGGUAAGAGGUUGAUCAGAAAUAGCUGCACUGAUGUACAAAUGCUAUUUCAUCUAUUUGGCCCUUGAUGCAUGACGUCUGUUAGUACUCAGAAGAGAGGGCACCUUAAUAGCUUUCUUAGGUGCAAUCUCCACUAUAAAAGCUUUGCUUAUCAACCCAACUAGGUAGGGCUUCUUUACUCUUACACUCUUUGUUAUGGACUGAAUAUUUGUGUCUCUUCCACCCCACCAAAUUCAUAUGUUGAAGACCUAAUCCCCAAUGCUGUGUUAUUUAGAGAUGGGGCCUUUGGGAGGUAAUGAGGGUUAAAUGAGGUCUUGAGAAUGGGCCCUUGGUCCUAUGGGAUCACUGCCCUUAUAAGAAGAGACACUACUCUGUUAACAUACACCAAGGAAAGGCCACGCGAGCACACAGUGAGAAGGCAGCUGUCUCUACAAGCCAGAAGAGAGCCCUCAGAGAAACGACUCUGUUGGAUCUUGAUCUGAUGCUUCUAGCUUCCAGAACUGUGAAAAAACUUUCUGUUGUUUAAGCCACCCAGUCUAUGAUAUUUUAUUUUAUUAUGGCAGCCUGAGCUGACUAGUAUAUCCUUGUAUAAGGGGUUCUUUGUAUUUCUCCUAUGGGUUGGUCUUUUGUUUCACUCUCUUUAUUAGUAUAUGUUUCUUAUCACUUCUUCCACCUUAUAGGUAGCUUGAAGGCAGGUCUUUCCUUAUACUUAUGUUAGCAUUCCCUGUGGUGCCCUGCACAAGGUUUUGCCCAAAGGAGAUGUUCAAUAAACAUUUGAUGACCUCAAGAUAAUGCAGUAAUUUCUGUGAAGAAGGUCACAGAUAACAAGCUUAGGGCAGGAGACUAGGCAGCAUUCAAGACUUGGGCUCAGGUAGAAACGGCAAGAUAUAGGAUUUCAAUGUGAAAUUUGGAGAUUAGCAAGGACAGAGGUUCUCAACAAUGAUCAGUGAGAAAAGUGAAAUGGCCAACAUGUCUCCAAGUAAGGCAUAUUCUUUUUUGAGUAUUUUGCACUUUGCAAGCCAUUAUGUAAAAUUAUGUUUUGGCUUGGCUGCUUCAAAUUAACUUUGAAAAAAAAAUUGUUUUUGAGUUACAGUUUGUCUAAAGCAAAUGAGUUUAAAGGCUGAAAUCGAGAAUGGGUCAUAUCCUUAAUAAUUUUAUGUAGUAAAAGAUAUUUUUAAAAGAACUACCAAUCAACUGAAAAAUCCAAAAAUCCAACAAUGGCAGCCACUGCCCCCCAAAGAAAUGAAAUGAAACAAAACAAGCAAAACAAAAAAUAUUUUGUUUAUUGCACUUCAAACUCUAGUUUAUUGGGAACCACUUAAAAUUGACAUAAUGUUCUUAAGUGGAGAUUCAGGGGUGAUGCUGUGAUUCUGUGUAUUUUCUGCGGGAUGCCAAGUGUGUUCUGGGGGUCAUGGUAGAAAACAGAGAGGGACUUUGCCAUAAAUGUCUCAAGAUAUCCCUCUGUGAGGAUAGAAGAAGUGGGGGAGAUUUAUUUAUUUAUUUUCUCUGGAGCAUCCUUCAUUGCCAUCUUGCUAAUCUCCUGAGUGCUACUGGAAACAAGGACUUUCUAGUAUCACCAGCGCUGAAGCCCAACAGUACAUGGGAUGAAAAUGGAGUAAAGUUGACUCUACCAACCUAUCCACCUAAGAGAAACCAGCACGUGGAUGAAUGGAUGUCACAGCCUGGAGCAAACUCUUAGACUUGUGUUCUCCAAUAGGUGAGCCACUAGAGCCACAAUUGGCUGUGAGCAUUCAAAAUUUGGUCAGUCCAAAUUGAGAUUGAGAUGUGAGUGUAAAAUAUGCACUAGAUUUCAAAAACAGUUAAAAGAAUGUAAAAUAACUCAUUAAUAUUUGCUUAUUAAUUACAUGUUGAAAUAAUAUUUUGUAUAUAUUAAGCUAAAAUAUGUUAUUAAA
rnacentral:lncRNA from 1 species